UAUUGGACAAUGGGCGAAAGCCUGAUCCAGCAAUGCCGCGUGAGUGAUGAAGGCCUUAGGGUUGUAAAGCUCUUCUACCCGGGAUGAUAAUGACAGUACCGGGAGAAUAAGCUCCGGCUAACUCCGUGCCAGCAGCCGCGGUAAUACGGAGGGAGCUAGCGUUGUUCGGAAUUACUGGGCGUAAAGCGCACGUAGGCGGCUUUGUAAGUUAGAGGUGAAAGCCUGGAGCUCAACUCCAGAAUUGCCUUUGAUACUGCAUCGCUUGAAUCCAGGAGAGGUGAGUGGAAUUCCGAGUGUAGAGGUGAAAUUCGUAGAUAUUCGGAAGAACACCAGUGGCGAAGGCGGCUCACUAGACUGGUAUUGACGCUGAGGUGCGAAA
rnacentral:rRNA from 1 species